UGGGGAAUCUUCCGCAAUGGACGAAAGUCUGACGGAGCAACGCCGCGUGAGUGAUGACGGCCUUCGGGUUGUAAAGCCCUGUUAAUCGGGACGAAUGGUUCUUGUGCGAAUAGUGCAAGGAUUUGACGGUACCGGAAUAGAAAGCCACGGCUAACUACGUGCCAGCAGCCGCGGUAAUACGUAGGUGGCAAGCGUUGUCCGGAAUUAUUGGGCGUAAAGCGCGCGCAGGCGGAUUGGUCAGUCUGUCUUAAGAGUUCGGGGCUUAACCCCGUGAUGGGAUGGAAACGGAAAAUCUAGAGUAUCGGAGAGGAAAGUGGAAUUCCUAGUGUAGCGGUGAAAUGCGUAGAUAUUAGGAUGAGCACCAGUGGCGAAGGCGACUUUCUGGACGAGAACUGACGCUGAGGCGCGAAAGCCAGGGGAGCGAACGGG
rnacentral:rRNA from 1 species